CACACACGCAUUCUCUCUCUCUCACCCCUUCUCAGAGCAGAAUAGGAGUUAGGUAUUUAGUGUUGGCAGUAAAGAGAGAGAGAAAAAAAAAAUGGCAGUGGGUAGUGUAAUUUCCAUUGCAACUCUAGUAAUGUCGCUAAUGUGGGUGGCUGAAGCUAGAAUUCCAGGUGUUUACAGUGGUGGUGCUUGGCAAAGUGCUCAUGCAACCUUCUAUGGUGGUGCUGAUGCCUCCGGCACCAUGGGUGGGGCUUGUGGGUAUGGCAACCUGUACAG
rnacentral:misc_RNA from 1 species